rnacentral:rRNA from 1 species
UAUUAUUCUUAGAUAAAUGUUUUCCUAGGUUAGUAAUAGUUAUUYACUUAAAAGCUAAAAGAUUUGGCGGUAAUUUAAUCUUUCCAGAGGAACUUGUUUUUUAAUCGAUAAACCUCGUAAUAUCUUACUUAUUUUAGUAAAGUUURUAUACCGUCAUUAUCAGGUAAUUUUAAAAAAAUAAAUUUCUAAAUAUAAAUAUUUAUAUAAAUUAGAUCAUGGUGCAGCUUAUGGAUAAGUUAAAAUGAGUUACAAUAAAUUAUUUUAAACGGAUAGUAAGUAGAAUAUAAGCUAGAAGGAGGAUUUGGUAGUAUUUGGAAUUUAAUAUGUUCUAAAGAUGAUAGCUCUAAAUUAUGUACAUAU